GGAAGACCCCAUUGAAAGAGCAUCGGGAGAAGGGGCAGGAGGAGAAGCUGAAGAGCCCAGAAACCAGAUCUCGGCAGAGCCAAUUAAAGCCCAGCCUGGAGAAGCCUUCCACAGCACGGUGGUUGUCCAGGCUCUGCUCCAGGAGGGGACAGUGCAGUGCAGGGCUUCUGCCUGGAGUGAGCCCCACCCAACAAUAAGCAGAAGGCCCUAAGUGCUUGGACCUGUACUGGCUAAAGCUGGAGAGGGCCCCAGAGACCCUGCAGUGAGUGGGUGUCCUGGCUGGGCUGGGCUGGGCCUCACCUGGAAUGUCACAGGAGCUGUGCUGGCCCACAAUGCCUGUGUCGUUCUCCUUGUCUG